rnacentral:rRNA from 1 species
UACGUAGGUGGCAAGCGUUGUCCGGAUUUACUGGGCGUAAAGAGCGCGCAGGCGGUCGUUCAAGUCGCGUGUGAAAGCCCCCGGCUCAACUGGGGAGGGUCACGCGAUACUGAUCGACUCGAAGGCAGGAGAGGGUAGUGGAAUUCCCGGUGUAGUGGUGAAAUGCGUAGAUAUCGGGAGGAACACCAGUGGCGAAAGCGACUACCUGGCCUGUUCUUGACGCUGAGGCGCGAAAGCUAGGGGAGCAACGGG